UUAUAGAACCAAAAACUGCUAUUUUAGUCUAAUGAUUCUUAGAAUCAGUAGAAUCGUGUUGUAAACAAGAGUUGUGAGGCAUUGGUGCGCAGUUCACACACAAUCUUCAAGAUUCUGGAAUGCAACAACAAUGCGAUUAACUUUGUAGCUUUGUAGGGUAUAAACGGUGCAAUACUUUUGUACCGCAGUUAUGAGACGUAUGUUUCGUUAUAUGGGAGGUGGUGUGCGACACGUUUUCGCGAGUUACGUUGUCUCUUCUGCUGCGAAUGAACAGUUACUCCAACCAGUUGAUCCCACACGUCGUCUUGCAAUUGAAGUUGACUGAACCCGAAUCUUAGCACCACGUCGAGUUGCACUGAUUGACUGGUCUCGUCGUGCUCUUCACCAUCGUUGUUCACAGUGCUGUUUAUUUCCUCUGGCAGCUCAACCUCAGAUGUGCCGUCAGAUUGCACUGUUUCAUGAAGCCCGACAAAGAAUGUUGGCGAGGGACACUUGUCACCCAAAGCUAGUCUGCCAAGCCUGUAUCUGUCUUAUGAAGACAAAGCUGGAACAUUUGGGAACGCACCUCCAUAUGUGUUGUGCACUAGUGCUUGGUGCUUACAGAAUGCUCCUUGCAUUCCAGCGACAUUACGAACAGACAGCGACAUUACAUGACAGAAACCUAGGUCACUCCAUGAACAGCCGAGAAGUCUGCGUUUAAUUCAAUUAUGGUUGUAACUUGCAUCUGUGAGUCUUUCAACCUGCAUGGCUAGAGCAUUAAUAAAGCAAA